AUUGAACGCUAGCGGGAUGCUUUACACAUGCAAGUCGAACGAGUGGCGGACGGGUGAGUAAUAUAUCGGAACGUGCCCAGUAGCGGGGGAUAACUACUCGAAAGAGUGGCUAAUACCGCAUACUAUUGGAGCGGCCGAUAUCGGAUUAGCUAGUAGGUGGGGUAAUGGCUCACCUAGGCGACGAUCCCUAGCUGGUCUGAGAGGAUGAUCAGCAACACUGGGACUGAGACACGGACCAGAGUCCUACGGGAGGCAGAAGUGGGGAAUAUAGCACAAUGGGGGAAAGACUGAUGCAGCCAUGACGCGUGUAUGAAGAAGGCGGUCGGGGUGUAAAGUACUUUCAGUCGGGAGGCGUUACAGACAGAAGAAGCACCGGCUAACUCCGUGCCAGCAGCCGCGGUAAUUC
rnacentral:rRNA from 1 species